GCAUCCCUGGUGGUUUGGAGCAUCCCUGGGGGUUUGGAGCAUCCCUGGGGGUUUGGGUCUCUCUGGGGGGGUUUGGUUCUCCCCGGGGUGCA